rnacentral:rRNA from 1 species
GAGGGAAGAGCCCAAGAUUGAAAGCUGGCGUCUUCGGCGUCCGCAUUGUAAUCUCAAGAAGUGUUUUCCGCUUCGGACCAAGCCUAAGUCCCCUGGAAAGGGGCAUCAUAGAGGGUGAUAAUCCCGUACAUGGCUUGGAGCGCCCGAGGCUUUGUGAUACGCUUUCUAAGAGUCGAGUUGUUUGGGAAUGCAGCUCAAAAUGGGUGGUAAAUGCCAUCUAAGGCUAAAUAUUGGGGAGAGACCGAUAGCGAACAAGUACAGUGAUGGAAAGAUGAAAAGAACUUUGAAAAGAGAGUUAAACAGUACGUGAAAUUGCCAAAAGGGAAGGGUAGGAGGUCAGAGAUGCGGCCUGGGAUUCAGCCUUGCUUUUGCUUGGUGUUUUUCCCAGAUUGCAGGCCAACGUCGGUUUUGGGCACUGGAGAAGGGUAGGAGGAACGUGGCACCCCUCGGGGUGUGUUAUAGCCUCCUACUGGAUACAGCGACCGAGACCGAGGACAGCAGCGUACUCGCAAGAGCGGGCCUUCGGGCACCUUUACGCUUAGGGCGUUGGCAUAAUGGCCCUCUACCAC